UGCCAGCCAGAGCUCAUGCCC
rnacentral:misc_RNA from 1 species